AUAUGUCUCGUAGGUGACCUGCGGAGGGUCAUUA
rnacentral:rRNA from 1 species